rnacentral:rRNA from 1 species
UACGAAGGGGGCUAGCGUUGCUCGGAAUCACUGGGCGUAAAGCGCACGUAGGCGGAUCUUUAAGUCAGGGGUGAAAUCCUGGAGCUCAACUCCAGAACUGCCUUUGAUACUGGGGAUCUCGAGUCCGGAAGAGGUGAGUGGAACUCCGAGUGUAGAGGUGAAAUUCGUAGAUAUUCGGAAAGAACACCAGUGGCGAAGGCGGCUCACUGGUCCGGUACUGACGCUUGAGACGCGAAAGCGUGGGGAGCAAACAGG